AUUGAACGCUGGCGGAAUGCUUUACACAUGCAAGUUGAACGGUAGAGGGGGCAGCCCCUCGAGAGUGGCGAACGGGUGAGUAAUAUAUCGGAACGUGCCCAGUCGUGGGGGAUAACGUAGCGAAAGUUACGCUAAUACCGCAUACGAUCUAAGGAUGAAAGCGGGGGAUCGCAAGACCUCGCGCGAUUGGAGCGGCCGAUAUCAGAUUAGGUAGUUGGUGGGGUAAAGGCUCACCAAGCCAACGAUCUGUAGCUGGUCUGAGAGGACGACCAGCCACACUGGAACUGAGACACGGUCCAGACUCCUACGGGAGGCAGCAGUGGGGAAUUUUGGACAAUGGACGCAAGUCUGACCCAGCCAUUCCGCGUGCAGGAUGAAGGCCCUCGGGUUGUAAACUGCUUUUGUACGGAACGAAAAGGUCUCUCUUAAUACGGGGGGCUCAUGACGGUACCGUAAGAAUAAGCACCGGCUAACUACGUGCCAGCAGCCGCCGUAA
rnacentral:rRNA from 1 species